rnacentral:rRNA from 1 species
AGGACGAACGCUGGCGGCGUGCUUAACACAUGCAAGUCGAACGGAAAGGCCCGCUUGCGGGUACUCGAGUGGCGAACGGGUGAGUAACACGUGGGCAACCUGCCCUCAGCUCUGGGAUAACUCCGGGAAACCGGUGCUAAUACUGGAUAUUUACUGUCUGCCGCAUGGUGGGUGGUGGAAAGUUUUUCGGCUGGGGAUGGGCCCGCGGCCUAUCAGCUUGUUGGUGGGGUGAUGGCCUACCAAGGCGACGACGGGUA